CAGAAGAUAGUUUAUUAUAAAAAUUAUAAUUUUGGAAAUUAUAGAAGGGAAUUAUCUUUCUUCUGA
rnacentral:tRNA from 1 species